rnacentral:misc_RNA from 1 species
AACGCACCUUGCGCUCCUUGGUAUUCCGAGGAGCAUGCCUGUUUGAGUGUCAUUAAAUUCUCAACCUCACCAACUUUGGUUGUGUGAAGGCUUGGAUGUGGGGGUUGCAGGUCCGCUUUGGUGGUCUGCUCCUCUGAAAUGUAUUAGUGGGUUUGGUCCCCUAUCUAUUGGUGUGAUAAUUAUCUACGCCGUGGACUGGAAGACUAUUAUGAACCUGCUUCUAACCGUCCUUUACCGGACAAUACUUGACAUUUUUGACCUCAAAUCAGGUAAGACUACCCGCUGAACUUAA